rnacentral:lncRNA from 13 species
AUUCAGUGGUUUGGGGGUGGGCUGGGGUAAGAUUCUACAGUUCUCCAACAAACUCCUGAGUAAUGUCGAUGCUGCUGGACCACAGGCCACAGUUUGAGAAGGAAGGGGUUGACAUUUACGGGAAAACAUUGGAAAGCUGGGAAGCUUAGUGACUUAUCCAGUUCACCCAACAGGUUAGGAGGAAACCCUGGAUUCUAAGCCCAACGGUGAGACUCAGGCUUGCCCUGAGUUCUCAAUUGUGCUGUUUGUUAUUGUCAACAACAGUCAUUCUUAAAAGUGAUCACACAAUUGCCCUGUUUUUCAGAAUUGUGCCUGCUCUUCUUGACUCACGAAAAUACUGCAAAAGAAACUUGCUUUGUCUGCCCUGACUCAGGAGAAAUGCAAGUGGCCACGGAUUUGCUCUGGAGGACUAAGUUGAUAGUAUAAACCUGUGGUUCUCAUAAGUAUCCCCAGGCUGCACUAUCAGCAUCACAUGGAAACAUCUCUCAAAAAGGCAUGUCAGAAACUGUGAGGACAGAACCCAGGAGUCUGCUUCAUAAAGCCUUUCAGGUGAUUCAGAUUUUAGCUGCCAGAGUGAGAUCUUGUAUGAGAGCGGGUAACGGAGGCAUUGUGGGAAAGAAGUAUUCAUUAGGAGACAUUCAGUUCAUCAGGAGAGAAGGAAAGAAAAAAAAAAGGAGUGAAGGAGAGGAAGAAAAGGAGAGAGAACAGGAAUGUUGCUUUAUUCUAAAAAUGGGUAUUCAUAAUGGCAGAUCAAUAUUUUGUGUAUUUAAAGUGGAGAAUGUAUAUUUUGUGUAUUUAAAGUGGAGAGCUACAUAAAUAUUUAUUAAGUUUACUUGUUCUGGAUCUGAGUUCAAGUCCUGGAUGUCCUUAUAAUUUUCUGUCUCGUUGAGUCUAAGUCUCUUUAUGGGUCUUAUGUAUCUGGGUGUUAGGAUCGUUAGCUCUUAUUGUUGCAUUGAUCCUUUUACCACUAUAUCUUUGUUGCUUUGAAAUCUAUUUUAUCAGAUGCGAGAAUUGCAACUCCUGCUUUUUAUUUAUUUAUUUAUUUUUACUCUCCAUUUGGUUGGUAAAUCUUUCUCCAUCCCUUUGUUUUGAGUCUUUGUAUAUCUUUGGAUGUGAAAUGGGUCUGGAUGUAGCAUACCGUUGGGUUUUGGCUGUAUCUUUUGAUUGGGGGAUUUAGUCGACUUAAAUUU